rnacentral:rRNA from 1 species
UACGUAGGGUGCAAGCGUUGUCCGGAAUUAUUGGGCGUAAAGCGCACGUAGGCGGCAUUGCAAGUCGGAUGUGAAAUCCCUCGGCUCAACCAAGGAAGUGCAUCCGAAACUGCCGUGCUUGAGUACUAAAGAGGAUCGCGGAAUUCCCGGUGUAGAGGUGAAAUUCGUAGAUAUCUGGAGGAACACCGGUGGCGAAGGCGGCAUCCUGGACCGAGAUUGACGCUGAGGCGCGAAAGCCAGGGGAGCAAACGGG